rnacentral:lncRNA from 1 species
UUUCCAUAACACUGAGCAUGUCUGGAUUUCUUCUGGCCAGCAUACAAUGGUCUUAAGAUCGUCUUCAGAUAUACUCAUUUUUUCCUCUAAUUCAAAUUGCCUUAAAUACUCUGAUAGGCUGUGCUACAAAAUAUUAUGCAUACUCUCCAGACAGUGGUCCCUAGCUGGAAUAAAUCAGAUUGCAAAUUGGAGACAUCUAGUAAGCUCACUUCAGAACAAGCCUGGGAGCAAAACACAAUACAUGGAAUUAGAAGGAGCAGAACAACAGAGUAAAGAGGUCUUCCAGAACAGCUGGGAAAUCUGGCCCAAGAAACAGUUCAAGUCCUGCUCAUUAUCUUCAAAAAGGGCUCAUGGAGAGUCAGGUGCACAUCAAAAUGAUGAGGCCAGCAGGAAUGAUGUCAAGCCAAGCUCUGCAGGAUGCCACGGGGAGAUGGAGCUGUGACCUCUGAGACAGGCGAGGCAAGAGAGGGGGAGUAGACUGCUACAGUAGAAGUGAGCAGAGGAAAUCUCUCUGGAAGCAGUAGUUACAGGGGAUCAAGUCAAGCCACAGAACUCAUCCUGGCAAGCAGAACUUGCUCUCACGCAACCCAGUCUU